AUAAAGCAUUACCAUUAGAGCACAGAGAACAUUAAUUGAUCUACAGUAGUCAACAUGGAAAAACACCUGUUUCUGAUUUUAAGUCUGACUUCAGGUGUGAUGACUGCAGACCAGAUUGGGCCAAAUAAAGAAACUCUCAUCAUAAAGAAGGAAGACGAGACUGUGACUCUCAGCUGCUCAUAUACAACUAGCAGCAGUUCUGUUUAUCUUUACUGGUACAGACAGUAUGCUAAUAGUGAUCCUCAGUAUUUAAUAUUUAAACAUCCCAGAUCAGCUGCAAGUGGAAACCCCUCUGAUCCUCGCUUUCAGUCGACUACAUCAGAUUCAUCCACUGAACUCAUUAUUAAUGGAGUGACGCUGUCAGAUUCAGCUCUCUAUUAUUGUGCUCUGGAGCCCAGUGAUGCAAAAUCUAUGUGAAGCUGUACAAAAACUAAAAUUAUUUGUUCCCUUUGAAGUCAAGCCACAUCAAACCCACAAUCUAUAAUUCUCAUAAUAUAAUUACACCAGUGGAAACACCUGUGUGUGGU